rnacentral:rRNA from 1 species
AGUGAACGCUGGCGGUAGGCCUAACACAUGCAAGUCGAACGGCAGCACAGUAAGAGCUUGCUCUUACGGGUGGCGAGUGGCGGACGGGUGAGGAAUACAUCGGAAUCUACUUUUUCGUGGGGGAUAACGUAGGGAAACUUACGCUAAUACCGCAUACGACCUACGGGUGAAAGCAGGGGAUCUUCGGACCUUGCGCGAUUGAAUGAGCCGAUGUCGGAUUAGCUAGUUGGCGGGGUAAAGGCCCACCAAGGCGACGAUCCGUAGCUGGUCUGAGAUGAUGAUCAGCCACACUGGAACUGAGACACGGUCCAGACUCCUACGGGAGGCAGCAGUGGGGAAUAUUGGACAAUGGGCGCAAGCCUGAUCCAGCCAUACCGCGUGGGUGAAGAAGGCCUUCGGGUUGUAAAGCCCUUUUGUUGGGAAAGAAAAGCAGCAGGUUAAUACCCCGCUGUUCUGACGGUACCCAAAGAAUAAGCACCGGCUAACUUCGU